rnacentral:rRNA from 1 species
GGGGAUAGCCGGCCUAACGGCCGAGUAAUACCGCAUACGCUCUCGAUGAGGCAUUUCAUUGAGAGGAAACCUCCGGGGUAUUUCGAGGGGCUCGCGGCCUAUCAGCUAGUUGGCGAGGUAACGGCUCACCAAGGCAACGACGGGUAGCUGGUCUGAGAGGAUGGCCAGCCACAUUGGGACUGAGAUACGGCCCAGACUCCUACGGGAGGCAGCAGUGGGGAAUCUUGCGCAAUGGCCUAACGGCUGACGCUGCGACGCCGCGUGUGGGAUGAAGCUCUUCGGAGUGUAAACCACUGUUGCCCGGGACGAAUAGCUCGAUUUCUCGAGCCUGACAGUACCGGGUGAGGAAGCACCGGCUAACUCCGUGCCAGCAGCCGCGGUAAUACGGGGGGUGCGAGCGUUGUCCGGAAUCACUGGGCGUAAAGGGCGCGUAGGUGGUUUGAUAAGGGUGUGGUGAAAGUCCGGGGCUCAACCCCGGAUCUGCCGUGCCGACUGUCAAACUCGAGGACUGUAGAGGCAGACGGAAUUCCGGGUGUAGCGGUGGAAUGCGUAGAGAUCCGGAGGAAGACCGGUGGCGAAGGCGGUCUGCUGGGCAGUUUCUGACACUGAGGCGCGACAGCGUGGGGAGCAAACAGGAUUAGAUACCCUGGUAGUCCACGCCGUAAACGAUGGGU